ACGAUCGCAAGAUUAAAACUCAAAGGAAUUGACGGGGCCCCGCACAAGCAGCGGAGCAUGCGGCUUAAUUCGACGCAACGCGAAGAACCUUACCAAGGCUUGACAUAUACAGGAAUACGGCAGAGAUGUCGUAGCGGUUAAACGUCUGUAUACAGGUGGUGCAUGGUUGUCGUCAGCUCGUGUCGUGAGAUGUUGGGUUAAGUCCCGCAACGAGCGCAACCCUCGUUCUGUGUUGCCAGCAUUUAGUUGGGGACUCACAGGAGACUGCCGGGGUUAACUCGGAGGAAGGUGGGGAUGACGUCAAAUCAUCAUGCCCCUUAUGUCUUGGGCUGCACGCAUGCUACAAUGGCUGGUACAAAGGGCUGCAAUACUGCAAAGUGGAGCGAAUCCCAAAAAGCCAGUCUCAGUUCGGAUUGGGGUCUGCAACUCGACCCCAUGAAGUCGGAGUUGCUAGUAAUCGUAGAUCAGCAACGCUACGGUGAAUACGUUCCCGGGGCUUGUACACACCGCCCGUCACAUCACGAAAGUCGGUAACACCCGAAGUCAGUGCCCAACCGCAAGGAGGGA
rnacentral:rRNA from 1 species